GACAGAGGGUGCAAACGUUGUUCGGAAUUACUGGGCGUAAAGCGCGUGUAGGCGGCUCGGAAAGUCGGAUGUGAAAGCCCUGGCUUAACCUAGGAAGUGCGCCCGAAACUGCAGAGCUUGAAUACCGGAGAGGAUGGCGGAAUUCCCCAAGUAGAGGUGAAAUUCGUAGAUAUGGGGAGGAACACCGGUGGCGAAGGCGGCCAUCUGGACGGCUAUUGACGCUGAGACGCGAAAGCGUGGGGAGCAAACAGG
rnacentral:rRNA from 1 species